AAGACUAUACUUUCAGGGAUCAUUUUUAUAGUUUGUUAGUAGGGAAGUUUUUCUAGACGUGUAGAGCAUCCAAAGUCAGGAGGAAGAGGCGUAGUGUUCUCUCCUGAGCGUGAAGUGGGGGUUUUUGGUGUUGCCAUUGAUGAUCGUUCUUCUCUCCACUUUGGAGAGUAAGAGGGAGAGGGCGUGGUCUGAGUGGU
ensembl:snoRNA U3 Small nucleolar RNA U3